GAUGAAGAACGCAGUGAAAUGCGAUAAGUAAUGUGAAUUGCAGAAUUCAGUGAAUCAUCGAAUCUUUGAACGCACAUUGCGCCCGCCAGUAUUCUGGCGGGCAUGCCUGUUCGAGCGUCAUUACAACCCUCAGGCCCCCGGGCCUGGCGUUGGGGAUCGGCGGAGCCCCCCGUGGGCACACGCCGUCCCCCAAAUGCAGUGGCGGUCCCGCCGCAGCUUCCAUCGCGUAGUAGCUAACACCUCGCGACUGGAGAGCGGCGCGGCCACGCCGUAAAACACCCAACUCUUCUGAAGUUGACCUCGCAUCAGGUAGGAAUACCCGCUGAACUUAAGCAUAUCAAUAAGCGGAGGA
rnacentral:misc_RNA from 1 species